rnacentral:rRNA from 1 species
UACGGGGGGGGCGAGCGUUGUUCGGAAUUACUGGGCGUAAAGCGCGCGCAGGCGGCCCUUUAAGUCUGACGGUGAAAUGCCGGGGCUCAACCCCGUGCCCGCCGCGGAUACUGGAGGGCUGGAGACACGUAGAGGCAAGCGGAAUUCCGGGUGUAGCGGUGGAAUGCGUAGAGAUCCGGAAGAACACCGGAGGCGAAGGCGGCUUGCUGGGCGUAGUCUGACGCUGAGGCGCGAAAGCGUGGGGAGCGAACAGG